rnacentral:rRNA from 1 species
UACAGGGGGUGCAAACGUUGCUCGGAAUCAUUGGGCGUAAAGCGCACGUAGGCGGUCUGUUAUGUCGGAUGUGAAAGCCCUUGGCUCAACUGAGGAAGUGCAUCCGAAACUGGCAGGCUAGAGUACGAAAGAGGAUCGCGGAAUUCCUGGUGUAGCGGUGAAAUGCGCAGAUAUCAGAAAGAACACCCGUGGCGAAAGCGGCUCUCUGGAACGGUACUGACGCUGAGACGCGAAAGCGUGGGGAGCGAACAGG